UACAGAGGGUGCGAGCGUUAAUCGGAAUUAUUGGGCGUAAAGAGCUCGUAGGCGGUUUGUCGCGUCUGCUGUGAAAACUCGGGGCUUAACUCCGGGCCUGCAGUGGGUACGGGCAGACUAGAGUGUGGUAGGGGAGACUGGAAUUCCUGGUGUAGCGGUGAAAUGCGCAGAUAUCAGGAGGAACACCGAUGGCGAAGGCAGGUCUCUGGGCCAUAACUGACGCUGAGAAGCGAAAGCAUGGGGAGCGAACAGG
rnacentral:rRNA from 1 species